UAUAAUCAGUGAUGGGAGGACGGAGAAGGCUAGGCAAGCCUGGCGUUGGUAGUCCAGGUGAAAGUGCGUAGGCUGAGUGUUUAGGUAAAUCCGGACACUUAAGGCCGAGACACGAGACGAGCCACUACGGUGGUGAAGUUGUUGAUGCCCUGCUUCCAGGAAAAGUCUCUAAGCUUAUGAUUAUGCGAACCGUACCCCAAACCGACACAGGUGGUCAGGUAGAGAAUACUAAGGCGCUUGAGAGAACUCGGGUGAAGGAACUCGGCAAAAUUGUACCGUAACUUCGGGAGAAGGUACGCCUCUGUUGGUGAUAGGACUUGCUCCUUAAGCGAAUGGAGGCCGCAGUGACCAGGUGGCUGGGACUGUUUAUUAAAAACACAGCACUGUGCAAAAUCGAAAGAUGACGUAUACGGUGUGACACCUGCCCG
rnacentral:rRNA from 1 species